AGAACGAACGCUGGCGGCAUGCCUAAUACAUGCAAGUCGAACGAACUCUUCGGAGUUAGUGGCGCACGGGUGCGUAACGCGUGGGAAUCUGCCCCUUGGCUCGGAAUAACAGUUGGAAACGACUGCUAAUACCGGAUGAUGACGAAAGUCCAAAGAUUUAUCGCCAAGGGAUGAGCCCGCGUAGGAUUAGCUAGUUGGUGAGGUAAAGGCUCACCAAGGCAACGAUCCUUAGCUGGUCUGAGAGGAUGAUCAGCCACACUGGGACUGAGACACGGCCCAGACUCCUACGGGAGGCAGCAGUAGGGAAUAUUGGACAAUGGGCAAAGCCUGAUCCAGCAAUGACCGCGUGAGUGAUGAAGGCCUUAGGGUUGUAAAGCUCUUUACCCGAGAUGAUAAUGACAGUAUCGGAAGAAUAAGCCCGGCUAACUCCGUGCCGAGACAGCCGC
rnacentral:rRNA from 1 species